UACGGGGGGGGCAAGCGUUGUUCGGAAUUACUGGGCGUAAAGGGCUCGUAGGUGGCCAACUAAGUCAGACGUGAAAUCCCUCAGCUUAACUGGGGAACUGCGUCCGAUACUGGAAGGCUUGAAUCCGGGAGAGGGAUGCGGAAUUCCAGGUGUAGCGGUGAAAUGCGUAGAUAUCGUAAGGAAGACCAGUGGCGAAGGCGGGUCUCUGGACAGUUCCUGACGCUGAGGCACGAAGGUCAGGGGAGCAAACGGG
rnacentral:rRNA from 1 species